rnacentral:rRNA from 1 species
GACGAACGCUAGGCGGCGGUGCCUAACACAUGCAAGUCGAGCGGAGCCAAACGAAAGGAUUCUUCGGAAUGAUUUUGUGGACGCUUAGCGGCGGACGGGUGAGUAACGCGUGAGUAACCUGCCUAUAAGAGGGGAAUAACGUUUGGAAACGAACGCUAAUACCGCAUAACGUACGGUCCUCACAUGGGGACUGUACCAAAGAUUUUAUCGCUGGAAGAUGAGCUCGCGGCCGAUUAGGUAGUUGGUGAGAUAACAGCCCACCAAGCCGACGAUCGGUAGCCGGACUGAGAGGUUGAUCGGCCACAUUGGGACUGAGACACGGCCCAG